rnacentral:rRNA from 1 species
UACAGAGGGUGCGAGCGUUGUCCGGAAUCACUGGGCGUAAAGGCGCGUAGGUGGCGUCGCAAGUCGAUGGUGAAGCUCGUCGCUCAACGCGAGUCGGCCAUUGAUACUGCGAGGCUGGAGCACUGUAGAGGCGAGUGGAUUCCGGUGUAAGCGGUCGAAAUGCGCAGAUAAUCGGGAGGAACACCAAUGGCGAAGGCAGCUCCGCUGGGACGGUACUGACGCUGAGGCGACGAAAGCGUGGGGGAGCAAACAGG